CAGAGAGCGCAGUCAGAUGAACUGGAAAAAAUUGAAAAGCACAGCCGAUCCUUCAAAGACAAGGAAAAUGCCAAGUCUCUGGACAAACCUGAACAGAUGCUGGAAAAGAACAGUGUGACUUUCCAAUGCCAGAACUGCAGGACCUUUUUCAGGCCUCACAGAUAAAGUUUAAAGAUUUUCAAAAAGAUCUCAGAAAACUGAAGAAAGACUUAAAAAGCCGAGAGCUUGUGCUCCAUGAUACUUAUCAUGUCACCAUUGGACCCAGAUUAUGUCAUUGUUAAAAGAAAGAAUAUAGGAGCAUUUAAAAUACCUUCGCAGAAAGGGAAAAAUGGUGGAAUGAAGCAGAAUGAACUUUCAUAUGUGCCUGCAUGGAUGUAGCCCGAUUUGGUCUCGCUUGGUUCAGAAUUUCUUCUACACCUUUGAUUAACCCACAGUCCAAACCAGAGCAGCCAUGGCCACUCAAACACAAGGACACGUGGAUAUGCGAGACAAGUGGAGC